rnacentral:rRNA from 1 species
GCUCAUUAAAUCAGUUAUCGUUUAUUUGAUAGUACCUUACUACUUGGAUAACCGUGGUAAUUCUAGAGCUAAUACAUGCUAAAAACCCCAACUUCGGGAGGGGUGUAUUUAUUAGAUAAAAAACCAAUGCCCUUCGGGGCUCCUUGGUGAUUCAUGAUAACUUCUCAGAUCGCAUGGCUUUACGCCGGGCGACGGUUCAUUCAAAUUUCUGCCCUAUCAACUUUCGAUGGUAAGGUAUUGGCUUACCAUGGUUUCAACGGGUAACGGGGAAUUAGGGUUCGAUUCCGGAGAGGGAGCCUGAGAAACGGCUACCACAUCCAAGGAAGGCAGCAGGCGCGCAAAUUACCCAAUUCCGAUACGGAGAGGUAGUGACAAUAAAUACUGAUACAGGGCUCUUUUGGGUCUUGUAAUUGGAAUGAGUACAAUUUAAACCUCUUAACGAGGAACAAUUGGAGGGCAAGUCUGGUGCCAGCAGCCGCGGUAAUUCCAGCUCCAAUAGCGUAUAUUAAAGUUGUUGCAGUUAAAAAGCUCGUAGUUGAACCUUUGGCCUGGCUGGCAGGUCCGCCUCACCGCGUGCACUUGUCCGGCCGGGCCUUUUCUUCUGGAGAACCGCAUGCCCUUCACUGGGUGUGUUGGGGACCAGGACUUUUACUUUGAAAAAAUUAGAGUGUUCAAAGCAGGCCUUUGCUCGAAUACGUUAGCAUGGAAUAAUAGAAUAGGACGUGCGGUCCUAUUUUGUUGGUUUCUAGGACCGCCGUAAUGAUUAAUAGGGACAGUCGGGGGCAUCAGUAUUCAAUUGUCAGAGGUGAAAUUCUUGGAUUUAUUGAAGACUAACUACUGCGAAAGCAUUUGCCAAGGAUGUUUUCAUUAAUCAGUGAACGAAAGUUAGGGGAUCGAAGACGAUCAGAUACCGUCGUAGUCUUAACCAUAAACUAUGCCGACUAGGGAUCGG